rnacentral:hammerhead_ribozyme from 1 species
AUACAUCUGACGAGUCCCAAAUAUGACGAAACGCACGUUCUGGAU